AUGCAGUCGUGCGCGANGCGGCCUUCGGGCCGUGAGUAGAGCGGCAGACGGGUGAGUAACACGUGGGCAACCUGUCCCCAGGUGGGGAAUAACUCGGGGAAACUCGAGCUAAUACCGCAUGACAUCGCCGGGUCUUCGGGCCCGACGAUCAAAGCAGGGGAUCCUUCGGGACCUUGCGCCAGGGGAGGGGCCCGCGCCCGAUUAGCUUGUUGGUGGGGUAAUGGCCUACCAAGGCGACGAUCGGUAGCCGACCUGAGAGGGUGACCGGCCACACUGGGACUGAGACACGGCCCAGACUCCUACGGGAGGCAGCAGUGAGGAAUCUUGCGCAAUGGGGGAAACCCUGACGCUGCGACGCCGCGUGGGCGAUGAGGGCCUUCGGGUCGUAAAGCCCUUUCGAGAGGGACGAAAAAUCCGGCCGUUAAUAUCGGCCGGGUUCGACGGUACCUCUAUNAGANGCCCCGGCUAACUCCGUGCCAGCAGCCGCGGUAAUACGGAGGGGGCGAGCGUUGUUCGGAAUUACUGNGCGUAAAGCGCGCGUAGGCNGUCUGGUAAGUCGGAUGUGAAAGCCCUCGGCUCANCCGAGGAAUUNCNUCCNAUACUGNCAGGNUUGAGUCNNGUAGGGGGUANCGNNNUUCNNGNNGUAGCGGUUGGAAUGCGUA
rnacentral:rRNA from 1 species